UUUGGGUAAUUUGACAUGCAAACCCAUCAUUUUCAUAACAUGCAUUAAUAGGCCACUUCACAUUUGCCUAGCACAUUUCUAAAUUUUCUCACAUAAGUCCUAUUUAAUAAAAUUCACUUACAAUUAACAAAAUUCAAGCAUGAAAUUUUCACACAUGCAUAUAUACAUAUAAUAAGCAUCAAAUAUGAUGGCUAAUUAUUAGUAUGACUCGGUUUUGUGGUCCCGAAACCACUUCCCGACUAGGGUCAAUUUUGGGCUGUCACACAAAAUAUUAG
rnacentral:lncRNA from 1 species